UCCUGGCUCAGGAUGAACGCUAGCGGCAAGCUUAAUACAUGCAAGUCGAGGGGCAGCAUGACUGUAGCAAUACAGUUGAUGGCGACCGGCAAACGGGUGCGGAACACGUACAGAACCUUCCUUCGAGCGGGGAAUAGCCCAGAGAAAUUUGGAUUAAUACCCCAUAGUAUAUUGGAGUGGCAUCACUUUGAUAUUAAAGAUUUAUCACUUGAAGAUGGCUGUGCGGCUGACUAGAUAGUUGGCGGGUAACGGCCCACCAAGUCUGCGAUCAGUAACUGGUGUGAGAGCACGACCAGUCACACGGGCACUGAGACACGGGCCCGACUCCUACGGGAGGCAGCAGUAAGGAAUAUUGGUCAAUGGACGAAAGUCUGAACCAGCUAUGCCGCGUGGAGGAUGAAGGCCCUCUGGGUUGUAAACUUCUUUUAUAUGGGACGAAAAAGGGCCUUUCUAGGUCAACUGACGGUACCAUGUGAAUAAGCACCGGCUAACUCCGUG
rnacentral:rRNA from 1 species